rnacentral:rRNA from 1 species
UAAACCAUGCACCGAAGCUGCGGCAGCGACACUAUGUGUUGUUGGGUAGGGGAGCGUUCUGUAAGCCUGCGAAGGUGACCUGUGAGGGUUGCUGGAGGUAUCAGAAGUGCGAAUGCUGACAUAAGUAACGAUAAAGCGGGUGAAAAGCCCGCUCGCCGGAAGACCAAGGGUUCCUGUCCAACGUUAAUCGGGGCAGGGUGAGUCGACCCCUAAGGCGAGGCCGAAAGGCGUAGUCGAUGGGAAACAGGUUAAUAUUCCUGUACUUGGUGUUACUGCGAAGGGGGGACGGAGAAGGCUAUGUUAGCCGGGCGACGGUUGUCCCGGUUUAAGCAUGUAGGCUGAUUGUCCAGGCAAAUCCGGAUAAUCAAGGCUGAGGUGUGAUGACGAGGCACUACGGUGCUGAAGUAACAAAUGCCCUGCUUCCAGGAAAAGCCUCUAAGCAUCAGGUAACAUUAAAUCGUACCCCAAACCGACACAGGUGGUCAGGUAGAGAAUACCAAGGCGCUUGAGAGAACUCGGGUGAAGGAACUAGGCAAAAUGGUGCCGUAACUUCGGGAGAAGGCACGCUGGUGUGUAGGUGAAGUCCCUGCGGAUGGAGCUGAGACCAGUCGAAGAUACCAGCUGGCUGCAACUGUUUAUUAAAAACACAGCACUGUGCAAACACGAAAGU